UAAAAAUUAUCCCAAAAACAUUUCAUUUCCCCGCUUCUCCUCCUUCCCCUUCUCUGGUUCUCUUCUUUUACCCUAACCUCCUUUUUUUCAUUUUCUCGUUUCUCAUCCAUCCCCUCCUAUGGUUCACUACUUAUCUGUUUCUAACAAGCCGCGAAACUAAGUCGCGUCGCCGUUGUUGUUCCCCCACCACUAAACACUUCCUCUUCCUAUCGCGUUCUCGCUGAUGUUCCCCCACCGCAGAACUAUUCCUCUUCCUGCCGCCGCCGCAUCACACAUGCGUCGCUCCUCCGUGUCGCUGAUUUUUUAAAGUAAUUUUGAGCCAUGGAGGAAGUUAUUGAAAAGCAAAGGGUGUAAAUUUCGUAGAGGUAAAGGAGUUACAGAUUUCUUCUUAAGUGAAGAAACAGGUUGUGUUUCAGAUGUACUGUGUGGGAAUGGCAGAAUAAAAGAUGAUGCAGUGAUCUUGGUUGUGGCUAUCUCCAGCCUUCAGGAAAUCAUACAACAAAGACAAAUCUCUUCCUCCAUUCAGCAUGUUCUGCUAGUGGUGUUAAGGUAUUCAACAAUCCGAGGGAGCAACCUUUUACCAUUGAGUAGAUAAAUGAAGUUCGAGAAAAGUUGGCAAAGUUCAUUACCAUUUAUUGUCUUUGAUAUUUUCAUGUAGUGAAUCUUAGAUUAUGGAUUCUAGUUUUUCAUAGGAUUGUAAUGUAAUCAAUUUUUAUAUUUAUAAUUAUAUACUAUUCAAUUUAA